GGAAAUUUUUAUGCUCAGAGGCUCUUGGCAGUCAAUGAGAAAUAGGAGAUUGGAAUGGAAACUAUAAAGGGGUGCUGGAAAAGGUCAGAGAAAAUCAUCAUCAUAAAGUGAAGUGAUUUUCUUCUUUAUGAGCUCCUGAUGUAAACAGACUGAUGAGCACAACACAAUCCUUACUCACCCACAUGACAUCAUACACAAUCACAGCUAAAUGUUUCUAUCUGUCAAAGCCUGAAGAGUGACUACCAGAUUGUUGCCUGAUUGCUAAGAAUUGAUGCUUGUUCAACUGGGAUCUAUCCAGAGAAACAUAAUCCACUUCAAGAAUUUUCUGAAAAGGGAAUCUAAUGCAAGGAAUUAAUUGCAAAGAUGAUGCAAUAUCUGAGAACGAUAGAUUUGACAGUUUGGUCUACAUUUCAAGGCUGGUUAGAUGGGAGGAGGAAGACUAAGUGCUCUGCCUUAACUCAGGCCAGGCUGUGGGCGCAAGUGCACCAACGGCUUUGAGACUAACACACAGCUCAGAACAAGAAAAUAUAUAUUGAGCACCUUCAACAUAACAAAUUGGCUGGGCACUGAUGGAACAACUAUAAACAAGCCAGACAGCAUCACUGUGUUGAUGAAACUCACUCUCAAAGGGGAAAGAAAGUGCUUGAAGCAAGGACAAUACAUUGUGAACAAUGCAUAAUGAGAGCUGGCAUGCUUGUCAAUGGAAGUCAUACACAACAUCUGCUUGAGUGAUUCCAGAGGUGACCAGAGACUGACUAAAAUGGGCCCAAGUCUUGAGAUUGACAUUGACUCCAGAAUGCCAAAGUACUACUACUUCACCAUGAGAAAUUUCAUCUGUCACAAAGCCCAGAGUAUUCAGUUCAACAUAAUUAGCAUCUUCUCUUCUAAUGAGGACAACUAUCUGGAAAGCCAAAUUACAAACAGAAGAAAUUUAGAAGACCUUCCCCAAAGUCGUUAGUGAGGAUAGCCAGAGGAACGUUGCUCAUGUAGCCACUGAAUGGAAAUAACCCUUUGGCCAAGACUCUCCUCUGGAGACCGUAAAUUGUGUGAUGGCAAAGUUCUUUAUCUGAUCCCUUUUGUGUGUGUACUCCACUGUUUAUCUUCUAUAGAGAGCUUCAUUUCUUUCUCUUUAGCUGUAUACUUUUAUACUCUUGUGUGAACCACAGCCUUAAUACUGAUAGCUGCUUGUUAAAUACACUUACAAUGUACUAACUGACCAGAUCACCUGAUUAAAAGAAAUAAUUAUUUUUCA
ensembl:lncRNA novel transcript